UACGUGAGGGUGCGAGCGUUAAUCGGAAUUACUGGGCGUAAAGCGUGCGCAGGCGGUUCGUUGUGUCGGUGGUGAAAGCCCCGGGCUUAACCUGGGAAUGGCCAUGGAAACUGGCGAACUGGAGUGUGGCAGAGGGGGGUGGAAUUCCGCGUGUAGCAGUGAAAUGCGUAGAGAUGCGGAGGAACACCGAUGGCGAAGGCAGCCCCCUGGGCUGACACUGACGCUCAGGCACGAAAGCGUGGGGAGCAAACAGG
rnacentral:rRNA from 1 species